rnacentral:rRNA from 1 species
GACGAACGCUGGCGGCGUGCUUAACACAUGCAAGUCGAGCGGUAAGGCCCUUUCGGGGGUACACGAGCGGCGAACGGGUGAGUAACACGUGGGUGACCUGCCCUCAGCUCUGGGAUAAGCCUGGGAAACCGGGUCUAAUACUGGAUAUGACUCCAUGACGCAUGUUGUGGGGUGGAAAGCCUUGUGCGGCUGAGGAUGGGCCCGCGGCCUAUCAGCUUGUUGGUGGGGUGANGGCCUACCAAGGCGACGACGGGUAGCCGGCCUGAGAGGGCGACCGGCCACACUGGGACUGAGACACGGCCCAGACUCCUACGGGAGGCAGCAGUGGGGAAUCUUGCGCAAUGGGCGAAAGCCUGACGCAGCGACGCCGCGUGAGGGAUGAC